AAUGAAACACUCUUGAGAAAAUAGGUACAGGUCGACUUGCCACCUCCCAAACCUAUCAUCUCAGUAAAUAUAAACAUGCUGGGAAAUGCCAUCAAUCCAGAAGAGAAAUGCAGCCGCGUGAUGCCUCACUCACCAGAAGGGAUUGCAGGGUGACCCUGUCUGAUUACCAGCCUCGACUUAGGAAAUACAGCCAAUGAUGAAAUUCAUGGCAGGCAAAUUCCCUGUUCAAGGUGGAGCAACAGCAUGAUGGAUGGGCCAGCAGUGAUGGAUAGCCCCUCUGAAUUUUGGUUCAUGGGUUUCCUCCAGCAAGGACUGAGUUGUCCCAGAGAUAACACUCUACCAGCGGCUGGGCUCUGGGCUGAAUGCUUGCUUAGGGAUAACACCCUCAUUACCCAGUAAAGCAAAUUAUUAUUGACAA
rnacentral:misc_RNA from 1 species